rnacentral:rRNA from 1 species
GUGGAUGCCCUGGCAGUCAGAGGCGAUGAAGGACGUGCUAAUCUGCGAUAAGCGUCGGUGAGGUGAUAUGAACCGUUAUAACCGGCGAUUUCCGAAUGGGGAAACCCAGUGUGUUUCGACACACUAUCAUUAACUGAAUCCAUAGGUUAAUGAGGCGAACCGGGGGAACUGAAACAUCUAAGUACCCCGAGGAAAAGAAAUCAACCGAGAUUCCCCCAGUAGCGGCGAGCGAACGGGGAGGAGCCCAGAGUCUGAAUCAGUGUGUGUGUUAGUGGAAGCGUCUGGAAAGGCGCGCGAUACAGGGUGACAGCCCCGUACACAAAAAUGCACAUAUUGUGAGCUCGAUGAGUAGGGCGGGACACGUGGUAUCCUGUCUGAAUAUGGGGGGACCAUCCUCCAAGGCUAAAUACUCCUGACUGACCGAUAGUGAACCAGUACCGUGAGGGAAAGGCGAAAAGAACCCCGGCGAGGGGAGUGAAAAAGAACCUGAAACCGUGUACGUACAAGCAGUGGGAGCCUCUUAAUGGGGUGACUGCGUACCUUUUGUAUAAUGGGUCAGCGACUUAUAUUCUGUAGCAAGGUUAACCGAAUAGGGGAGCCGAAGGGAAACCGAGUCUUAACUGGGCGUUAAGUUGCAGGGUAUAGACCCGAAACCCGGUGAUCUAGCCAUGGGCAGGUUGAAGGUUGGGUAACACUAACUGGAGGACCGAACCGACUAAUGUUGAAAAAUUAGCGGAUGACUUGUGGCUGGGGGUGAAAGGCCAAUCAAACCGGGAGAUAGCUGGUUCUCCCCGAAAGCUAUUUAGGUAGCGCCUCGUGAAUUCAUCUCCGGGGGUAGAGCACUGUUUCGGCAAGGGGGUCAUCCCGACUUACCAACCCGAUGCAAACUGCGAAUACCGGAGAAUGUUAUCACGGGAGACACACGGCGGGUGCUAACGUCCGUCGUGAAGAGGGAAACAACCCAGACCGCCAGCUAAGGUCCCAAAGUCAUGGUUAAGUGGGAAACGAUGUGGGAAGGCCCAGACAGCCAGGAUGUUGGCUUAGAAGCAGCCAUCAUUUAAAGAAAGCGUAAUAGCUCACUGGUCGAGUCGGCCUGCGCGGAAGAUGUAACGGGGCUAAACCAUGCACCGAAGCUGCGGCAGCGACACUAUGUGUUGUUGGGUAGGGGAGCGUUCUGUAAGCCUGUGAAGGUGUGCUGUGAGGCAUGCUGGAGGUAUCAGAAGUGCGAAUGCUGACAUAAGUAACGAUAAAGCGGGUGAAAAGCCCGCUCGCCGGAAGACCAAGGGUUCCUGUCCAACGUUAAUCGGGGCAGGGUGAGUCGACCCCUAAGGCGAGGCCGAAAGGCGUAGUCGAUGGGAAACAGGUUAAUAUUCCUGUACUUGGUGUUACUGCGAAGGGGGGACGGAGAAGGCUAUGUUGGCCGGGCGACGGUUGUCCCGGUUUAAGCGUGUAGGCUGGUUUUCCAGGCAAAUCCGGAAAACCAAGGCUGAGGCGUGAUGACGAGGCACUACGGUGCUGAAGCGACAAAUGCCCUGCUUCCAGGAAAAGCCUCUAAGCAUCAGGUAACAUCAAAUCGUACCCCAAACCGACACAGGUGGUCAGGUAGAGAAUACCAAGGCGCUUGAGAGAACUCGGGUGAAGGAACUAGGCAAAAUGGUGCCGUAACUUCGGGAGAAGGCACGCUGAUAUGUAGGUGAAGCGACUUGCUCGUGGAGCUGAAAUCAGUCGAAGAUACCAGCUGGCUGCAACUGUUUAUUAAAAACACAGCACUGUGCAAACACGAAAGUGGACGUAUACGGUGUGACGCCUGCCCGGUGCCGGAAGGUUAAUUGAUGGGGUUAGCGGUAACGCGAAGCUCUUGAUCGAAGCCCCGGUAAACGGCGGCCGUAACUAUAACGGUCCUAAGGUAGCGAAAUUCCUUGUCGGGUAAGUUCCGACCUGCACGAAUGGCGUAAUGAUGGCCAGGCUGUCUCCACCCGAGACUCAGUGAAAUUGAACUCGCUGUGAAGAUGCAGUGUACCCGCGGCAAGACGGAAAGACCCCGUGAACCUUUACUAUAGCUUGACACUGAACAUUGAGCCUUGAUGUGUAGGAUAGGUGGGAGGCUUUGAAGUGUGGACGCCAGUCUGCAUGGAGCCGACCUUGAAAUACCACCCUUUAAUGUUUGAUGUUCUAACGUGGGCCCCUAAUCGGGGUUGCGGACAGUGUCUGGUGGGUAGUUUGACUGGGGCGGUCUCCUCCUAAAGAGUAACGGAGGAGCACGAAGGUUGGCUAAUCCUGGUCGGACAUCAGGAGGUUAGUGCAAUGGCAUAAGCCAGCUUGACUGCGAGCGUGACGGCGCGAGCAGGUGCGAAAGCAGGUCAUAGUGAUCCGGUGGUUCUGAAUGGAAGGGCCAUCGCUCAACGGAUAAAAGGUACUCCGGGGAUAACAGGCUGAUACCGCCCAAGAGUUCAUAUCGACGGCGGUGUUUGGCACCUCGAUGUCGGCUCAUCACAUCCUGGGGCUGAAGUAGGUCCCAAGGGUAUGGCUGUUCGCCAUUUAAAGUGGUACGCGAGCUGGGUUUAGAACGUCGUGAGACAGUUCGGUCCCUAUCUGCCGUGGGCGCUGGAGAACUGAGGGGGGCUGCUCCUAGUACGAGAGGACCGGAGUGGACGCAUCACUGGUGUUCGGGUUGUCAUGCCAAUGGCACUGCCCGGUAGCUAAAUGCGGAAGAGAUAAGUGCUGAAAGCAUCUAAGCACGAAACUUGCCCCGAGAUGAGUUCUCCCUGACUCCUUGAGAGUCCUGAAGGAACGUUGAAGACGACGACGUUGAUAGGCCGGGUGUGUAAGCGCAGCGAUGCGUUGAGCUAACCGGUACUAAUGAACCGUGAGGCUUAACCUUACAACGCCGAAG